UUCAGUCGUGCUUUGCGACAGCCUCAUAUGCCUGUACGGACGAUACUGUGAAAAGCUCGCAAAUUUCUCAUAUUUUCAUUCGAUUUCGCUGGUGUGAUUGAAAAACAGGAAAAAGGAGCAAUGGCUGCAGAAGGUGGAACUCCGGGCGGUUUGGCCCCAGCUGAACCUCAGACCGGGCCCGAUGGCGAGAUCAUCGGCGGACCGCGCACGCCGCAGCAGAUCGCGGCCCAGCGAAGGCUACAACAGACCCAGGCACAAGUCGACGAGGUAGUGGACAUCAUGAAGGCCAAUGUAGAGAAGGUGCUUGACAGAGAUGCCAAGUUAUCAGAAUUAGAUGAUAGGGCAGAUGCUCUUCAACAAGGCGCUUCACAAUUCGAGCAACAGGCAAAGAGCUUAAAGAACAAAUUCUGGCUGCAAAAUCUAAAGAUGAUGAUAAUAAUGGGUGUGAUUGGGGUUGUGAUAGUAGGUUUACUAUUUGGUGAUAACAUUAAACAAAUGUUUGGUUAGUUCGAUACCGCGGUACCGCCAAGGACGAUAGCGAGCCAGCAGUCACCUCUGGCGUCCACGGCGUACCUGUCAAUAACACUGCGACUGCAGUGAAUAAACAUUGAAAAUACAUGUAAUUUUUGAUUGACCGCAUCUCUUGGGUUCCACUUCAAAUGAGAAGAAAAUUAACAUUUUAGUAAGAAGAAUUUUGAUCAGGGGUGGAUCCAGCUCAAAAGACGGGGGGUAAAAAACGUAAUUUCAUGGGACCCUGUUCGAGUACUCCACGUCUGAUUGAAAAUAAUGUUUUAAAAAUACUUAUUAUUAGGAACAAGCUGAAAAUGUAACAAUUAUAGUAUAACUCUUGCAAUUGUUUUAUAAAAUACUUAUAAAAUACAAUUUAUAGACGAUUGCUAAGAUCUAAGUUUCGAUAAGUCGAUGUAAUUCGCUAAAUUUACGAAAUGUAUUCCUAAUACUCAUGGAUAAAAGUUCAUUUAAGGCGGCAAUGAUAAAUAUUCAGAAUUACACAAUGUAUUUUCAAUCUAUGAUCUAUGAAGACAAUAGUCUUUAAGUAGUAUCUGUAUUGUCCUAAUAUGCAUUAUUGCAAUAGAUUUAAUAAAAUUUGCUGUAUUUAUAACUACUCAGUCCACAAUAUAUUAAAAGAAUUUACUGACAUAAUUACAUUAUAAUAAUAUUUAGAUCUUAUACUCACGUGGGUCAUUUGGGCCCCAUUUAACUGAAUUCUUACCUGUCGAAAGAUUUUUGAAAUUGGAAGGAAAUUUUGCAUUAAAUUAAAUAUAUUUUGAUUCAAUUAAGCUACUAGGUUCGCUGAAUAAGAAAUUGAUUUGCGUGCCUUGGUAUAAAGAACGUUUACUAUGUAGCUUAAAAUAGAUUUUUCGCAGUAAAUAAGGCCAAAAUUCAAUACUUUUAAAACAUAAAGAUCUUCCAAAUGUAGUGGAAUCUAUCUGAUAAUAUAUUAUAAUAGAUUUAAUAAUAAUGUAUACAUAUACAUAGUUACUCACAUACAAACUAUUAUAUAGAUAAUAGUAGUGAUGAGGCAAACAUUCUGUUUGGCAUUCGCGGGGAUGAUAGCGAAAGCGAAUUUUAGGUAUUGAUACGUGCAAAUGCGAAAAUAGAGGGACGUGAGUUUGUUCGUUAUACUACACCAGUUACAAAGGGCGAAAUACAACACGUUGCCCUGCAAUAAAUGGAGAAUUAACAUUUAAAAAAGAAUCUGAAUUCGGUUUCGCUAAUGCGCAUGCGAAUUUUCGCUACAUCACCAAUAAAUACACACAUAGUUUUUUCCAUGGAUUAUACUUAUUAAUGUUUUAUUAGAUUACACCAUUAUAUAUGUGCAUUAUGUAAUGAAAUAGAGGAAUUUAUUACGGAAUUUUUUAUUUAUGAAACAAUAAGGCUGUGCUCGGAUCAGAAAAUGGUACUCGCAUAUAUAUUUUAUUUUACGUAUAUAUAAUAUAAUUUUAUAACAGAGCAGUACAGUAUACAUAAAUAAAUCGAUAAUUUGACUGCCAUUUCAAUACAAAUUAAUUACAAUUGACGACGUAGACAAAUCUUUUUUUGCCUUAAAUGCAAUAAUUUAUUUUAGAUUUAGAAUUAAUCUUAUUAUUAAAUAAUAAAUAAUUUAUACAUUUAUUUUAAUUUAAGUAAAUUAUAUAUAUUUUCUAUAGUUUCUCAGUGCUGUAGUCUCGGGUUGGAUACCUGAGUCGGUCAAGAGAUAUUGGUUUUUUCUACACAGAAAUUAGUCUUGAAAGUGAAGUGGCGAUCGGGUCGCCCUCUAUCAUAUUAUGAGACGGAAUAUUUACGGGGGAAAGUUUCGGGGAUAAAUGGCAUGUGUCUUAAUAUUAGAACAAUAUAGGCAGCGGUGGUACAAUUUUAUUAACACUGUAUACCUAUUAUUCCUUGUCAUGUACUGUGAAUAUUAUAUUUUCUAGAUUGCUACGUGUAAUUUUUAAUUUGGCCUCUAAUAUCAAAAUGUCAAUUAUUUGCAACGCAUACAUUUCAUUACAAGCUUUAAUCUGUCAAUUACACGAUAGUAAAACUAGUUUUCGAAUUAAAUUCGUGUGAAAAUUAAUUUCAAAUUUAUUAUUUGAUUAAUCUUCGUUUUCAAUAAACGAUCCCGAUGGUUUUAUCGAUUCUGAAAAUGGACCAAUCAGAAUAAAGAAUUUUUGACAUGCGCAAAAGUAACUUAUUUCGGUUGGUGUACUCUCGCGAUUAAGGUUUGGAACGUUAAUUGAAAAGUAAAUGUAUAAAAAAAGUAAUGCUAUUAUUUACAGAACGAAUUAGGAAAUAAAUAUAUUAUAGUUUAUUUACUUAUAUAUUUAUUUACAGAUGUCUUCUUAAUUAUGUAUAAUAUGAAUUAAAUAUAAAUGCAUUAAAAUCAUAAUUAUUUAAUAAUGUGUAAAGGAAUGCAUGAGUGAACGAAUCCAGCCUUCUUUAGUAUCAGUCCAAUAAGAAGUAUUCAAAUGGAAAUUUUUGAUCGUUCCUAUAAAAAACACGGCCAAAAUCACUGUUUCCCAAAAAAACAGACCUAAAAUAAUUUACCAACGAGAUUGUUUAGUAAUAUUGUCACAUUUCGGGAAACGAAUUAAAAUUAAUUAAUUUAAUCAUUAAAAUGUUUGACAUUGUGAGAAAAAAACAUGGUGCCAUUGACAAUAUUAAUUAUUUUAUAACUUAUGAUAAUUAAAUAAUUUUAAAAUUGUAGACCAAUUGUUUAAUAAUAAAGUUAUGCUGUAACUAACACGAGUUUAUUGCUGUGAUUAAAACUCUGAAAGUUUAUUGAUUGAAUUUUAGCACAAAAUUGUAAUGGCUAACUGAUUUUCAAUUAAGAAUAUAGAAAGAUCAAAUUUAAUUAAUUUUCUUAGAGUUAGUAAUAGAAUUUAUUGAUUAAAUGUUAGUUUUAGAAGAUAAAUUUAAUCGCACUAAGAUUAUAAUUAGUUUUUCUUUUGUUUAUGUAUGCUUAUAUUUUAUUUUCUUAUAAACAGGAUAAUGUAAAUUAUUUACAUUUAAUUUAUUUAUAGACGCUCUCAAAUAGAACUAUGUUUAAGAUUAAAUUAUUAAUUUUAUAAAAAAAUUCAACGAAUAAAUUUUAAUUAUUUCAAAUAAACAUGAUGAUGUGUAUUGUAGAUAUUACAUUAUUCCAUUGUAAUUUUUAAAAUAAAAUUCGAAAUUUUGACAUGUUAUAAACGUAAAUUGAUUCCCCAUUAAUGUUGUAUUUGGGAAUUUGAUGUAAAUGAAGUUAAUGGUUUCAAAAUGUGAUAAAAGGAUAAAAACAAUU
rnacentral:misc_RNA from 1 species